rnacentral:snoRNA from 16 species
CCGGCUCUCACGAACAAUCCCGCCCGGAGUUUACCGUACUUGAUCUCUUGCGCGGACCUACGGGUGCCCAGA